rnacentral:rRNA from 1 species
AUAGGAGGGGUACGGCUGGAAAAACCGCCGUGCAACCCAAAGGUGUGACGCAUACCGAACUAAAGUAGGGAAAUGUGUGAGCCGGCUGCCGAGAAAAGCCGCUAUUGUUUGUACUGUACCCGUACCGUAAACCGACACAGGUGGAUGAGGAGAGAAUCCUAAGGCCGACGGAAGAAGCAUUGCUAAGGAACUCGGCAAAAUGACCCUGUAACUUCGGGAGAAAGGGUGCCUCGAUAGAGGCCGCAGAGAAUAGGCCCAAGCAACUGUUUAGCAAAAACACAGGUCUAUGCAAAACCGCAAGGUGAAGUAUAUGGGCUGACGCCUGCCCGGUGCUGGAAGGUUAAGGGGAGAUGUCAGGAGACGAAGCAUCGAACUUAAGCCCCAGUAAACGGCGGCCGUAACAAUAACGGUCCUAAGGUAGCGAAAUUCCUUGUCGGGUAAGUUCCGACCCGCACGAAAGGCGUAAUGAUUUGGGCGCUGUCUCGGCAAUGCAUCCGGUGAAAUUGAAGUGCCAGUGAAGAUGCUGGCUACCCGCGCCAGGACGGAAAGACCCCAUGGAGCUUUACUCCAGCUUGAUACUGGGAUUCGGUAUUGUAUGUACAGGAUAGGUGGGAGGCUGAGAAAUGGUGACGCCAGUCGCCAUGGAGCCGCUGUUGGGAUACCACCCUUGCAGUACUGGAUUUCUAACCAGCAGCCGUGAUCCGGCUGGGGGACAAUGUCAGGUGGGGAGUUUGACUGGGGCGGUCGCCUCCGAAAGGGUAUCGGAGGCGCUCAAAGGUUCCCUCAGAAUGGUCGGAAACCAUUCGAAGAGUGCAAAGGCAGAAGGGAGCUUGACUGCGACACCGACGGGUGGGGCAGGUACGAAAGUAGGACUUAGUGAUCCGGUGGUAUUAAGUGGGAAUGCCAUCGCUCAACGGAUAAAAGCUACCCUGGGAUAACAGGCUUAUCACUCCCAAGAGUUCACAUCGACGGAGUGGUUUGGCACCUCGAUGUCGGCUCAUCGCAUCCUGGGGCUGUAGUAGGUCCCAAGGGUUGGGCUGUUCGCCCAUUAAAGCGGUACGCGAGCUGGGUUCAGAACGUCGUGAGACAGUUCGGUCCCUAUCCGGCGUGGGCGUAGGAUAUUUGAGAGGAGCUGACCUUAGUACGAGAGGACCGGGUUGGACUGACCUCUGGUGCACCGGUUGUCAUGCCAAUGGCACAGCCGGGUAGCCAAGUCGGGAAGGGAUAAACGCUGAAGGCAUCUAAGCGUGAAGCCCCCCUCAAGAUGAGAUAUCCCCCGCAUAAGCGGUAAGACCCCUUGAAGACGACGAGGUAGAUAGGGCAGAGGUGGAAGUGCAGUAAUGUAUGGAGCUGACUGCUACUAAUAGGUCGAAGGCU